CACUGGCAUAUCUCAUCAUGGCCCUAAAAUCAUUGUCCUAAUUUAUGGGAUUCAUAAUCAUAAAAUAUGAUGCAGCAAAUAAAACACAAUACCUCACAAAUAAAAUAACAAAUGUCAUGCAAACAAGUAGGAAGAUAACACAAAAAAAUUCUAUUGCAUCACCCAUGUGAUUGGCUUGUAGGGCACUAUUCUUUCAGUUGUAGAUGGGUGGUGCUUGAUUAUGGUGGCAUGAUAGUUGCUAAAGGUGUGGA
rnacentral:lncRNA from 1 species